UGGGGAAUCUUGCGCAAUGGGCGAAAGCCUGAUCCAGCCAUGCCGCGUGCAGGAAGAAGGCGUUAUGCGUUGUAAACUGCUUUUGCCAGGGGAUAAAAAGACCGUGCGCGGUUAAUUGAAGGUACCUGGUGAAUAAGCCACGGCUAACUACGUGCCAGCAGCCGCGGUAAUACGUAGGUGGCAAGCGUUGUCCGGAUUUAUUGGGUUUAAAGGGUGCGUAGGUGGCCCUGUAAGUCAGUGGUGAAAUAUCUCAGCUUAACUGAGAGGGUGCCAUUGAUACUGCAGGGCUUGAGUACAGAUGAGGUAGGCGGAAUUGACGGUGUAGCGGUGAAAUGCAUAGAUAUCGUCAAGAACACCGAUAGCGAAGGCAGCUUACCAAGCUGUAACUGACACUGAGGCACGAAAGUGUGGGGAUCAAACAGGAUUAGAUACCCCCGUAGUCCCUGAGCGGGCUGGCAAGGCGCAU
rnacentral:rRNA from 1 species